CCUACGGGAGGCAGCAGUGGGGGAUAUUGCACAAUGGGGGGAACCCUGAUGCAGCGACGCCGCGUGGGUGAAGAAGCGCCUCGGCGCGUAAAGCCCUGUCAGCAGGGAAGAAAAUGACGGUACCUGAAGAAGAAGCCCCGGCUAACUACGUGCCAGCAGCCGCGGUAAUACGGAGGGGGCAAGCGUUAUCCGGAUUUACUGGGUGGAAAGGGGGCGCAGACGGCGAUGCAAGCCAGGAGUGAAAGCCCGGGGCCCAACCCCGGGACUGCUCUUGGAACUGCGUGGCUGGAGUGCAGGAGGGGCAGGCGGAAUUCCUGGUGUAGCGGUGAAAUGCGUAGAUAUCAGGAGGAACACCGGUGGCGAAGGCGGCCUGCUGGACUGCAACUGACGUUGAGGCACGAAAGCGUGGGGAGCAAACAGGAUUAGAUACCCCAGUAGUC
rnacentral:rRNA from 1 species